rnacentral:rRNA from 1 species
GUGAACGCUGGCGGUAGGCCUAACCCAUGCAAGUCGAACGGCAGCACCGUAAGAGCUUGCUCUUACGGGUGGCGAGUGGCGGACGGGUGAGGAAUACAUCGGAAUCUACUUUUUCGUGGGGGAUAACGUAGGGAAACUUACGCUAAUACCGCAUACGACCUACGGGUGAAAGCAGGGGAUCUUCGGACCUUGCGCGAUUGAAUGAGCCGAUGUCGGAUUAGCUAGUUGGCGGGGUAAAGGCCCACCAAGGCGACGAUCCGUAGCUGGUCUGAGAGGAUGAUCAGCCACACUGGAACUGAGACACGGUCCAGACUCCUACGGGAGGCAGCAGUGGGGAAUAUUGGACAAUGGGCGCAAGCCUGAUCCAGCCAUACCGCGUGGGUGAAGAAGGCCUUCGGGUUGUAAAGCCCUUUUGUUGGGAAAGAAAAGCAGCAGGUUAAUACCCCGCUGUUCUGACGGUACCCAAAGAAUAAGCACCGGCUAACUUCGU